UAUAUAUAUAUAUAUAUAUUGAAGUAUUGAAGUUAUAUGCUAGCUUAGAAAUGUUCAUGAAACGAAACAGUAAACAUAAAGUUUUUACUAAGAAGAAAACGGUCUGCACUCCUCUCUUUUAAUAUGUUCUUAUUCAAAUACGUAUUUAUCAUCGUACUGCAACUUUCUUGCAAUAUUUUCAAAAAUUUCAGCCAAUAACGAACAACAUGGAAGCGCUAGGCUCAGUAAUAGUUUUUAUUGAAUUAAGGUUGUGAAACUAACAGAAAAAAAAAAACAAAUAUUUCUAUUUAAUUUCUUCGUAAAUUUUGAGCGCAAUAUCUACAAAACUGCAGGAAACCAAACGAUGGCACCGUAAGCCAUAAUGCGUUUUUCGCUUUAUCUACCCUAGUUCAGUUGUAAGGUCGUGCUAUGAACUACAAUCUGUUUUUAUUCCUACAGCACAAAAUACAUUUCAUAAACCUAAUGGCACAAUUACAUCAAUGAGUCUUAUUUUAUAGAUACACAUACAGUUCUAUUAAGCGUUGGAAAAAUAACCGCUUUCAAACGAAAUAUUCGACCAAAAUGAUGUACGUAUAAAAGGUGUGCUAUUUCCCUAUUGUGAUACAUUUGCUAAAGAAAAAUUAUACAUGUAACCAACUUUCGUGAUGUUCGAUAAAACAAAAUAAUAAUCGUAGUUCAGAACUAUGCCUAUCGGUCCAAAUGAAAACUUUUGCAAUGUCUCCCAUAGAAUUUUGAAAUCCUUUGCCGUCUAACAUCAAUUGAAUUAGUGAAGUUUUAAUUUGUUAUUGUCCAAUUUUCAUCUGAAGAUGCUUAUAAUAAAUGCGACAACUGUAACGCGUAUACUUGAAUCUGCAGCGUGAGCUAUCUUUCACGUUAGGUUGAUCCUGUGAAUUCAUCAUGAUCAUCACUGCGAAUCAGAAAAAGUAAACGAAUGUUGAAACAAAAUAAUGGUUUAACAAAGACAAAAACAAAUGAACAACCAUGUAACAAAGUAAUGUGUGCCAUUUUAUACUUUCAUAGUUGCAUUAAAUAUUUCUCAUUACAAAGUAAACAACCGAACGAAUCAAAACUGGUUAGGAAGAACAAAAAAAAAACAAAAUAUUUUAACUGCGAAAAUUUUCCGAAUAUGGUAGUGCUUCAGUUGAUUAUUUCACAAAAUAUAUAUAAAUGUGAAGUUGAUUUGUCUAGAUUUCUUAUAAGUGGUAAACUCUCACAAAUAAUACAGGAACAUAGAUUUCGAGUGUCGAAAAACAUUGACUUAUUGGAAACAAAAGAAUCAAAUAGCAGAAUUACCAGUUUCAAUAAAUUCGCAUUACCUAGAAAAGGAUUGGUUUCAUUGUCAGUACAGAUCAAACAAGAGUGGAAAGUUAAAACUUCACUAAUGACGACACGUUUGAGUUCAGAAGUUUUCCGGUGAGUUUGUUGCGAAUUGGCUCAAAUUUAGUUAAAUUGUUCACUACCACCUUGCAUGUCACAUAUCAGUAAGUAAAACCUAUUAUUUUGAUGCAUUCAUAGGUUCUAGGUAACACUGUAUGCUUUUCGGUGAUAGAAUUAAUAUAAACACGUACAAUCCGUUUACCGUGCAACUAAUUUUGUUCCGCUGUGUAUUUGCUUUAUUAAAUAAUUGACAGUUAACGUUACUUUCAGUAGUGCUGUAAGGAAAUCAAACAAUAAGAUUUUUUUGCUAGCUUUCAUCAGAUGAUUGGUUUUCGGUUUGACAAGACUUUUAGUUAAAUUAAGCAAUGAAUAUUUUUCAUAGCUCUUACCUGGUUUAUGGAUUCACAAGACGUAGGUCGGGAUAAUCAGAAAAAACAGCAGCAGCAUAUAUUAAUAUUGGAAUAUUUAUAAGCUUUUCAAACAUUUUUUUUAAGAAAUAGACAUCAAAUCAGCAAUCAUUGAAGCGGAAAAAUGUUUCUCAAUAAUAUUCUUCUUUUGUUGUUACAUUUUCUUCAUAUUGAGUGUGCUACUAUACUACAAUUAGACACUCAAGAUUAUUCCAAAAACUCAAUAAAGCACUGAAAUCACGCAACGAAAUUAAUCUAUCAUUCAAAAUCCUCGUAAGUUUGCUAAACUAGUUCGAAUUGCUCUAGUCAAUUAUCAAUUAUUCAUAUUAUUCUUGUAUUUUGUUGGUCUCCUUCGUUCUCCUUUACAGUAUGCUAGGUUUAUUGAAGUCGUUUCUUCAUUUUGGGUUUUCACUUUUGUUGUAGUGUCUUCAUUCAUAUUAUCAAGAAACUCAAGAAAUCAGCAAAAUAAAUGAAACACAACUUUACGGCAAUCAUGUCAGUGAGCUGUUUCAGCUUUUGCGAGUGAUUAUGAUAUGAAUGAAUGGAUCAAUGAAAAUCUAUUACACGUGAACGUUUUCGUGUUUUAUUGAUUCAAAAAAAAAAUGUUUCUUUUUUUUUUCACUAUUAUUAUAGAACGAACAUGUAACAACAUAUUAUCUCGAUCAUGUUAUCUCGAAAUUUCAUUAGAUUAGAGAAAAUUAGCAAUAAUCAAAUGCUCAUGCUACAAUUUCUGUCCAAUAUAGGUUGACAGUAUGGUCCAUACAAUAAACAUUGAAGCCGUAAAAUAUGAAUCUGAUUUGCAUUUGUUUAAAUUUAUGUUCGAUUUUGGUCGUUUUAAAAAUUAGUAAACUAACUGUUUCAAAAGUUGCUACAUGUGCUUUAACUCCGCAAUAAUACUCAUUUAAAAUUCUUUAAACUAGGUGAAUACUGUCAUAUGAUUGUUUGAUUGUUUGAUGUAUAAAACAAAGGCUUGAAAUUUUAAAAGAAAUUUUAAAAGAAAAUUUACUUAUGUUUUCAAUUAUUGAUCUCGUUCUGUUACAAACCAAAACUUCUUCCAUAUUCCUAAUUAGUUAAACUAAUUUGAACUUUUAAAAUGAUUUGUUUUAUCACGUUAGAAAAGUCAGCUUUGUAAACUAUGUUCUUAGUCAUUGUAUGUAAUGGGCACAAUAUACAUAUAAAGUUUGCACAGCGUAUCGUUGCAAGAUUCAUACACACUUAUCAGGUUUCUGUUAAUCAUACAUUCCAUUCUCGAUUGAAGCCUAUUGCUUUUUAACUAAUUGUGUAGCUUUAUACCCUUGUCGGAACACAACAAUUUUGACAAAAGAGUUUUAGUGUAUAAUGGUUUCUGAAUAUUUCAUGCAUUUCGCUCCUGAAUGUGAUACCAAACAAAAAAAAAAAAAAAAAAAAAAAACAAAAUAGCGUAGUAUACCGUAUAUCACCUACCACUCAGAAUGUACUUUUGCAAUAGACAGAGCUUGUUAAAAUCUUAUAUACGCAGUGAGCUCUACUUUUAAUACCGUGAGUAGCUGGUUUGCCUUGUUUAACAUUACACGUUUUACUGUAAUCACUACAAACUACUGUUUGCCAUCAAUAAAUUUAAGUAACUUUAAGUGUUGUUGUCAUUGUACAUAUAAUCCUGAAUGUUGUAGUCCAAAUGAAAAGUUCAUACAAGUGAUUAAUGCAAAGCUAAGCAAACCGUAAAAAAGACAAUUGAAUCGAAUGAAAAACAACGGAUUGUAUAUAAGCUAAAGGUAAUCGCAAUAAUACAUUUUAGAUACUAAUAACAAAGUUUUACAAAUAGAGAAAAUAAAACAAGUAACAUCUAGAGAUCCAAAUAACAAGCAACUGAAAAACAAAAGUAACGACUAUUUGGGUGUGCCUUUUUAUACAUUGUACAAUUUUGAAUGCGGCCACAUAAUUGAUUAAUUAAUUAUUAACCUCUGAACUUUGUACUAUUUCCUAUUCUACACUAUUAUAUCGAUACUUGUUUCCAUUCGAUUAUGAUUUGCCUAACCAAUGUAAUCAAGCUACUGUAUUAUUUUUCCAUUCUGUAUUCGUAUUACAUCCGAGCACUUAAGCGCAACAUCAUUGUAUGUAUAUGAUACUCCUUUGCAAACAAAAGCAGCUGCCAUACAGAGCAAGCCAAUUUCGGUUCAGUCAUUGUAACAAAUACACGCAUGCAUGAUAGUUUUUCAUGUUGUAACAACAGAUCAGUACGAAAUAAAACGAACCCAAUAAAACCAAACAAUAACAAAGAGUAAUCUAGUGGAAAAAGUAUUUUUUUAUAUUUUAACAGUAUCAAUUAUAAUUAUACAAAAUAAACAAUUAUUGUAAUAAAAUAAGCUUUUUGUACCUUUUCCUUAUAGACAGUGUAUUCGUUAUUUUCAAAAUUCGAGAAAAUCUUUGUAGUUUGUUUUCGUUAUCUGUGCUUUAAUGCUCACGGUACAUGUGAAGUAGUAUACGAAUUGCAAUUUCACUAUCAACUAUUUGUAUAUGCAAAACGACUCUAGCUUUUGAAGAUUUGAAUGCUUUCUAUCGCGUGAUUCUAUUGCACUGGUUACUAUAUUGGUUUAAUUUCUACAAUUUCCUCUAUUACAUUUCGUUCUGUACUAGUGCAUUAUUUACUGAAUGCAUACUGUUGUCUACCCAUUAAUUAGAUUAUUUUUUAACAAUAUUCUGAACACAUAAUACAUCGUUAUAGUAUAGUUUGCUUCUGCAAAUAACACUUCGUUUGCAAGUUUUCAAACUUCUGUUCGCAUGAUAGUUUUUAUGGCAUUAUCCAAUCCAAUAAUCCUUCGAUGGUCAAAGCACUUUGACUAUGCCUUACAGUAAAGUUAUAUACGACAGUAGGUUUGACAAUGACUCGUUGUACAUGAACUCAGUCUCUGUGUAAAUCUGUGGUGAUUAGACAAAGGUCACUUUUUUGCUACUAAUGAAUACCUAUAUUAGUUUUCGUCAUAGUUUGUCAAGUUGUAUCGAGCUUUAUUCAAAUGGUAUUUUCUCAACUCAACGAAUAUCAAUGUUAUGUGGCACAUAGCAUGUAUGUAUGUGGUAAGUUGUUGCCAAAAAAAAACUAAGUGAAAUUAUUACUGUGUCAAUAGAAUUUGAAAUAAUUAUGAAGAAUUUUAUUUUGAUCCGAAUAAAUAAAGUUGUUUCAGAUUUCUGUCAUCCUAUCAUUUCAGUUUAAGUCAUUCCUAAAAAUCUACUUCCAAUACAAAAAGUUGCCGGGGCGAUUGAAACAGAAGAUUUUUUUUGUCAAUAUGUUAUAUUUGUGGGAUUUGAAAUGAAUUCAAACUAAUCUUUCGAAAUACACUUUUCUAAAAAAUUAUAGAAAUGGUGUUCGAAUAAAUAGAACUAUAGAAACACAACAUUAUGUUGAAAUUUAAAUAAUUUAAAUUAAAAUAUUCUUUUUUCAGUCAUUUUUUUUGGAAAUUUAAUCGAACUUUCCUCUUUUGUGGCAUAAUGCCCAUAAUAGCACAGCCAUGAUGAGUAGAACAUGGUGUAACGGUUUGACCAAAAAGUAGGCGCGGGGUGAGGAAGCGUUUUUUUACUUUGGAGGAUUUUUUUUUUAAAUCAAUAAUAGUAUAUUUGACAUGGCACGAUACAUUAUUUGUUUAACUGAGCCAGAUACAACUUCGGAGGGUUGGAGACGAAGCAUCACUAUGCAACAGAGAAUAACUUUUUCGUGUUUGUUGAUAUAUCCUUACUAACUAGGCAAUUGAAUACCGCAAAUUCAGGUGUUUUAAGUUAGAAAUUGUUUUCUAAAUUAAUGAAUAUUGAUAGCAAGGUAUGAAGCAUUGCCAUAUUUAUUAUUUAAAUGCAUCCAAAUGAUAUGUUAUGAGAAGGGAUAAUUUUUAUGCCCUAGUUGUUUAUAAACAAACCUACUUGCUGGCAUUUUUUUUUUUCAAAUAUGGCCGAUUCUGCUUUUCUUACCGUUACACCAUGUCUUUAUACAUCAUGAGCACAACUGAUUUCGUUGGGAUAAAACCUCUUGUGCUUCAUAUAAACCCAGAAGACAGGGACUUUAUGGUGUAUUUACCGUCAAAUCAGGAACAUAAGGACAAAUAGGAACGUAACUGAUUCGGGAAAAAGAUGUUGAUUUUAUAGAUUGUUCCGAAAAUUAUAAAUACAUUAAUAAAUAAUCGCCAUUCCAAAUAACGUGCAGUAUUCAGCCCAACUUCGGCUGCGUUGUGUUGUUUACAUUCAAAGUUAUUCCAUCAUAAUAUUUUUAUUGUGUGUUAUAGCUGAAAAGGAAGACCGGAAUCGUGCACGCCGUUCGAGUUGUCAGCGACGAAACCCGUCGAGCGAGAUUGUUUAGAAGUAAGCACCGGAAACAAAUGAAUUUUGAACAAAAACAACUACCAACACGAAAUUUUGUUUGUUUGUGUAAACGUGAUGUUAUAACAAAAAUUUUGAUAGAAAAUGAAAAGAAAUGUCAGAAUUUAUUUUCUAAAGCUUUGGAGCGUUUUAGAAAGUUUGGCAUUUGUUUUCGGUGUUGCUCGGAAUUAAAGGGUUCAAAAUGAAGAAUCAUUUCUUAUAUCCAUUUUAUAAUUAGUAGGUUUUCGCCAUUUAGAAUUUCAAAAUGGCUGAAGUUGAUUAAAUCAAUGAUUGAACCAUAGCCAAACAGAUGUGCCACUAGAUGACAAUUUUUUCGCCCAGAAAACUAACGACUAUUUUAAAAUUUUGUUUAGUACAUGCUCGUAAAUAAUAACUUUAAAAUGAGUAACAUUUGACGCAUUUUCGUAAAAAGUGGAACAACUCUAAAAUUGAGUAACUCCACAAAUACUCAAAACUGAGUAACACUACGCGUCUUAAAAAAUGAGAAUUGAACCCCUUGUCAUGCUGAAUGGUAGAGUUAAGUGUGAUGUCCGUAGGGACUCCCUACCGUCGCCGUGGAGCGAACUGCAUAGCAAAUAUAUUUCGACGUCAGUACCAAAGGGAGUGAAAAGUCCAUACACUACUGAUGAACAUACAGGCUAUUUAGCGACGGUACACAGAAAGCAAUGAUCUGGUACGGCUAAUAACAAAAUAGCAGUUAAAAAUACUAUGCCUGAAAAUAGUAACUUUGAUGUACAAUCCAUUAAAAAGGACUGCAUUAUAGUAGAAAAUACCAUUGCUUAACGAAAGAAACAUAUUGUUUUAUUAACUAUGCUGCGUUAUCAAAAUUAACUAUAUUGUAUAUAAAAGUUGACUGGCAACUAUAGUCAUUACCACAACCAAUAUGGUAAAACUGACUGGAACUAAUGUAAAUUCGAUGUUUGUGUUCUUGUUGAAAAUAUGACUCAUGUAAGCAUUGGUGAACUUACUACGUUACUUUGAAAUUAAUUUUAAAUAUUGUCAUCAGAGCUACUGCGAUCGUUACGUCGUUUUUUUCCCGAAAUUCACCAUGAACGUGUUGGUUUUCGUUAUAUGUUAAAAGCCCCUCAAGAGCAGCCAUUUUUCUCAUGCGCAGUUUUUUCAGGACGCUGUGUAAGUGAGUGUUGACAAUUUCAAUUUGAAUAUUUACUGUAAAACACAACAUAUGGGCACCGAAAAAGUGGAAUUAAUAGUGGAUGAUCUGUUUUCUAACCCGGGGUUGAUUGCAGAUGCUGGACAAAUACCGGAACUGCGGCAACUAAUGAUUGGUGAUUGGAAACUUGAUCCGACUAUUUACGCUAUUUUGAUUAGUCAUGGAAUAACGUUCCAGUGCCUGAAAAUGCUUGACGAAAAAGCGCUAAAUGACGUGUUUUCAGUAGCAAAAUGGACUGGACACAAGCAUACGCUGCGCAGAAAAUUGAUGCAAUGGGAUCAGAGUCUUCUUUACGAACAUCAAUCAUCGCAGCAUAAUGACGAUAUAAAAAGUGCGAGCUGUAGUUCCGAGCGAUGGUUACUUCCGACAAUCGUUAUCACCCGUUUGUUAGAUGAUAUUCUUAGCCGUAAUAAAAAAGGAAAAAUCUUUGUUAAAUAUUACGGAUGGCACAAUGCGUUAGAUAUUUCACACCGGAAGACUUUGUCUCAUACAGUGGUUGAUUAUUACAUAGCCAAUCAGAAGCAUUUUACUCUACCGAACAUGGCUAAAUUUGCAGAACUGAUCGCACAAAGAUUCCCCACAGAGAUUGCCGAAACGUAUUAGAUUCCGCGCGAUUCCAAAGCAAGCACAAACCAUCCAUCAGGACUGUUAUAUGAUCGCUUCUAUAACAGGAAAAAGGAAAAGAUUCAGAAAUCGAAACCCGAAAAGACAAGUUUUCUGCUUUCCAGACGGGCUGCUGCUGUUAAUUUAUCAGAAUCAAGUAAUUAUUUUGUUAAUUUGUAUUGGUAUUAAAUAAUUAGAGAACCUUAAAAUGAGAGAAGCGAUAAGGCACUUAUUUUGAACCAAAGAGGAUCGAGUUCCAUUCCGUUCAAAAUAAAUAAAUGGAAUAUAUUACUCGUUUCCAACAAUUCCAUCGUUCUACAUAUCGAAGCUAAGGAAUAUUUUUGCAGCGAGUUUCAUCAAUGCAUCUGAUUUAAAUCAACUUGUGUACAAAGGCUAGUCUAUUUUUUUCUAAUAACUUGAACAAUGCUAUUUUUUUUGGAAUCGACCUUGCAUAUUAGAAUGCAGUCACAGUCUAACUUAUAAACUUGCCGUACUUUGCACUUCUAGAUAUUGACAGAAAUGUUCAGUACAUAAUUUCCAAGCUUCUAAUAAUGUGUCAUACAAAGGCGUUGAAUACAAAAUAGGAUAUUUCCUGUCAAAAUCGAGUCGUCGGUUGAGCAACAUAGAACUAUAUGCAAUAAAGGUCCAUGUGAUAUGCAUAAAAUUGUUGAAGUUAAUGAAUUGGAUGGACCUCCGAUUCAUUUGUAUUCCAUAGAAAAUAAGCUGUACAUGAGACUGAAGAAAUAUCUCAUUUGAACCAAAUAUGUUACACAUUAAUUCAUAUAUAUGUAAUACCAUACAUAACUAUAAAUGCAAACAGAAAUAAAAUAAAGUUUUUAU